ensembl:lncRNA
CAUAAAUAAUAAUUGCACUAUUUCUUCCUUCAGAUGUGUUACUCCGGAUGAUUACUCCAGAGGAAAACACAGGUCUUAUCUGAGUGCCUUGUAUUCCACUUCUGAAGCGGGAAUGAUGUCUAUUUCUCCAGUCACCAAUAAACUAAUUUUAAAAAUGAACUACUUCCAGAUGAGACUUUAUUGACCUGCUCAUGAAAAUGGGAAGGCGGUGGCCAGAGGGGAAGUCAUGCUUUAAUUUAACAAGCAAUUAAUGCAGAACAUACAUAACAUGGAUGGAUGUUUUGCAGAAAGGGAGAUGCAGAACGCAGCCAAGGAAUUAUUUGCUGUGAAUUAUUCACUUAUUUCUGUCAGUUUCUAAACCCUCAUGAAGGUUCCGUGGAAGGCAGAAAAAAAAAAUUCAAGCAUAUGCAAAGCAAAACAGCAUCAAAAGUCAAAGAAGUCUCCAAGGGAGAUGAACUUCAAUGCCAGGAGAGAGUAAACAAAUGGAAUUAUUUACAAUAUAACGUUAUCAUUUGCAAUGAUAUUUUAUUCAUUAUUUAAUCACACACUGAGUCUCCCCUGUAGCCUGUGGUAGAUGGUGCAGCCAUUUUGUUCCACCUGCCGUGUCUCCGUGUCAAUGGCAUCGUCUAUUUAAUGUUUGCGUGCACUGCACAACCCGCUGCCUUGUGUUUGCAACAUACUCGCUUCCCUACCUGCUCAUGGGGCACAGAGGCUGUGGGAUGUCGGUGGUGAUGUGGCUGUGCACACAACGUUCACCUUUUUUGCUCAAACUGAGCCUUAGUUUCUGUUGCUAUUCUCGUAUCCUCCAUGUUGAAGAUGCCAUUCCGGUAUUCAAGUUCAUUUCAAGAGUCUCACUACGAUACAAUUUGCAUAACCACGUGUAUCAAUCCGUGUUAUGCUUAAGCACCUCUUGGCUUAAUCCCCUAAUUUGCAGGAAGGGGUGGGGGCAAGGGGUGGUUCUGUUCAGCAAUGCAAGUCCAAGAAAGGAGGAUUAGCCUAAUCCAGCUGCUGCAGCUAUUCAAUUUGGAGACUAAGGAUGAUAAAACCAAUUUUCCUAGUCUAUCAUGGAGAUUGAUUUGAGUCAAAAAAAAAUAAAGGGGUGGGGGGGUGGAGGGGGAAGGAAAUCAGGGUAUAAAUUAAUGAAAUGAGUGGAAUUUUGUCAAGUGACACCACUGAGAAUAAGGCCAUGCAUUAGAAGCAUCCCACUAUUGCUGUGAAGGGAAGUCAAUAAAUUAUUAGAAACUAUAUCAUGAUAAGUUUAUCAACGCACUUUACCCCUUCAAGCACUACUUUCCAAAUACCAGGUAUCACUUGUACUGCCACUUAAGGAAGUGAGGAGCAGUGAGGAUGCUUGAAGCAUCGCCAGGCACUCAGCAGAGCCAGGAGCGGAAGGUGACACUACGCUGUGCAUCCAAACUCAUUAAGGAGGUUCCCAGAUCUGCUGGCUGACACUGAUCCAGGAUCUGCUCUCAUUGCCAGCUCCACCCAUGAGCAGAUCACCACUUGAGUGUUUUGAGCUCCCUUCCUGCUUUUUCUGCUCUCAGUGUGGCCUCACUGUUGGUCGUUCCUAUUGCAUUGUCUCAAAUAAUAACGGCUCUUGCAAAUAGUCUCACCAAAUGCUAGGUCCUUCAGAUGGUGAUUGCUGAAAGCAAACAAAUGCAAGCCACAGGCUGUGAGCAACCCCCUUGUUGCAUUAUGGGGAUGUCAUACACAGCUUGACUUAACUUCCCAAAGUCAUUUGAUCCUGGUACUGCAAACAGCCUAAUGAAAACUGCAUUAGCUUCAUUUACUGUAGGUGAUUUCUUAAAGGCUGAUCUGUAUUCCUCUAAUAACCCAUCCCCACCUUCCCCGUCUAGGGUGUGCAUGGAGCCAACCGAGACCUCGGCACAGGCUCUGACACUGACAAAUGCCUCUUUUUGAUCACUUCAGGUUGUGUGAAUCCACUGCAUACACAUCAAAAUCAAACACAAAGUAAGGGGAAGCGUUAAUUAAAGCACAUCAAACACAGACUUGACAAGACUAUGAUUUAAGUAUAAAACUGCCUGGAGAACCGUGAUUCAAUAUUUUAGUUUGUAACCCACUUUUUAUGUCACCGUAUAGAACUGAAAAAAGGGAACACUUCCACCCCCCCUCCCUC